rnacentral:rRNA from 1 species
UACAGAGGGUGCGAGCGUUGUCCGGAAUCACUGGGCGUAAAGGGCGCGUAGGUGGCCCGGUCAGUUCGUGGUGAAAGCGCGGGGCUCAACCCUGCGUCGGCCAUGAAUACUGCCGCGGCUGGAGCACUGUAGAGGCAGGCGGAAUUCCGGGUGUAGCGGUGGAAUGCGUAGAGAUCCGGAAGAACACCGGUGGCGAAGGCGGCCUGCUGGGCAGUUGCUGACACUGAGGCGCGACAGCGUGGGGAGCAAACAGG